ACUGUUUGAUUUGUACACUUA
rnacentral:snRNA from 1 species